rnacentral:lncRNA from 1 species
AAAAAAAAAAAAAAAUUUCCCCUCCCUCAUCAACAAAAGCCCACCCUCUAAGAGACAUUCAAGCUGAACUAUCACAAUUCUUAAUCAGUUACAAUUUACAAACAGAUAAGUUUAAAAUAAACAAUUUACAAAAUUUUUGAAGCAUACCUUAACAUCUUGUUUUGCAGUUAAACAAUGGAAAAGUAUUUCUCCUACACUAAAAAAAAACUUGCUUACACACAACUGAAAAUAGAAUCUUACUUGAUAAUACAAAAGCUACCAUCAGAAGAAAUCCCUUCAGGAUCAUUAAGCCACUUCCUUUGCUCUGCAGUUUCUAUAGUAGUUUUAAAUUAUUAUUAAAUCAC